AUGGCUUCACCAUUUUGCUAAGAUCAAGUGUAGUAUCUGUUCUUAUCAGUUUAAUAUCUGAUGUCCUCUAUAUGAGGACUACAUAUUAAGCAGAUUUUGGCAUGAGGGCCGAAAUUUUGGAGCUUUUGUCCCUUUCUCUCUAUGUCGACCUAGCAUUGCAGUGCCGCUGGGAGCAGUGCACUCUGU